rnacentral:rRNA from 1 species
UACGGAGGGUGCAAGCGUUACUCGGAAUCACUGGGCGUAAAGGACGCGUAGGCGGGAUGGUAAGUCUGAUGUGAAAUCCUACAGCUUAACUGUAGAACUGCAUUGGAAACUACUAACCUAGAGUAUGGGAGGGGGAGAUGGAAUUAGUGGUGUAGGGGUAAAAUCCGUAGAUAUCACUAGGAAUACCUAAAGCGAAGGCGAUCUCCUGGAACAAUACUGACGCUAAGGCGUGAAAGCGUGGGGAGCAAAC